ensembl:lncRNA
CUGCUUUACAUCAAUACAUUUCCCUCCCCCUUCAUCCACCCCAUGCUGCUGGAAAGAUGGUAUGAGCCAGCCCACAGAAUAACUCAAUCCCGAUAGGGCCCCCCUCCCUCCACUUGGCACAUUCCACUCACUGCAGAGGGGAGUUUUAUUUAUGUAUCAAGAGACUGGUGUUCAUUGUAGCAGAAUUGCAGCGCACUGGACUGUACAGAACUGGGUAGCAUCCACACUGUCUAUGAGAGGGUGCGGUCCGGCUGCACUGAAAGCAACAACACUGACAGACAGACAGAGAGAGAGAAGGAAUAAAAAAGAAGAGGAGGGAGAGAUAUCACCACAAGAGGAAUACAGCAAGGGAUGAAAGGAGACACCCCUGUGAACAGCACCAUGAGUGUCGGUCAUGUCAGGAAGCUGGUGGAACAGCUGAAGAUUGAAGCCAGUUUUUGUCGAAUCAAGGUGUCUAAGGCAGCGGCGGACUUGAUGGCCUACUGUGACGCCCAUGCAUGUGAGGACCCUCUCAUCACCCCUGUGCCCACUUCAGAAAACCCGUUCAGGGAGAAAAAGUUCUUCUGUGCUCUGCUCUGAGCAGCACACAGGAAGGGCAGGAUUAGUCUCAUUUAGAUGAUAAUGAUUUGUGUAUGCACAUCACAAAACACAACACUCAACAAGACAUGACACAGCAAAAUAAAUCCCAAAUUAAGCUUUAAUAAAUGCAAAGUGGUUUCUGAAUUUCAGCGAUUGACAGCGCAAAGACCAAAUGUACAAAAUCAUGCUUGUGAGGAUAUUUUUAUUCUCCUGUUUUUUUGGGAAACCCUGUUCCUUUUCAUUAAGGGCACAAAAUAGAAUCAAGAUUGAUGAAACACACACUGAUACACACAUAUGCAAGCACAGUUUUUUAACCAAGCAAAAGGAAAUAGGUGUGGGUCUGGAUAUUUCAAUAAUUUCAAAUUGUAUUAUAUUCAAGACAUUCAUUAUGUUCCUCACAGCAUACCAUUGGUGAUUUACAAAUUCUGUAUGUAUAUUUUGAUCUUUUUAUGUUUUGUUUGAGGUGGCUAUGUACGCUGGUAGACUAACUGGUAGAGCUUUUAAAGUUUAGAUCAUUGUGAGAAAGUGAUACUGCUAAAACCUACACACCAGUACCACCAGUGCAUAGCACUCCUAAAGAGUCAAAUUAAAUUUAUGUCCUAAAACCAAUUUAAUUUUUCUGACCACUAAAACAAGUGGUAUCUAGUCUGGAAAUUAUCUUAAAAUAUAAAUCACUGAAGAAAAAUGUAAAGAGAAUAUCUGUUACAACUUGUGGUCCCAAGUAAUGGAUUAAAAUAAUGCAGACAGAAUCCAACGAAGGAAUGAAUAAAACUUUUAAACACAACAUACUUCAGUGUACUGCUUAUUGAGAAAAAAAAUCACUAUUGUUCAAGUUUGUGCUCAAUUUUAGUGUAAAUUUAAGAUUUUUAAUAAUCUAAAGAAAAACAGAUGCCUCUUAUUAAACUUGUUCUAACAGGUAAUUCAUCUCGUGUAACAGCAGGUUGAACUGGAUUGGUAACAUUUUUUCAUUCCACACACUCACAACACCUAUCAUUACUUUUUUUGAUAUUUUAUAGCAAAAGAAUUAAAAUGUAAAAGAUAAAAAGGUCCAAAAAUGCCAUAAUAGUUUUAGAGUAAUAAGAACAUUUAUCAGUGUUUCUUUGACCACUCAUGUAGCAUAUUAAACAUCUGGAAGCAGCAAAUGCCAACCAAGGUGUGGAUUAGGUGGCUACACUAUGCAGAAUGAAUCAGCCCACGCAUCUUCAGGUACACAUGCACAGUUAAAACAAAUCCAGAUUUUUAUUAAGGCAAUUUAAGGGUUGGGGAGCAUAAAACUACACGGCAAAAUGAUACCAUUAUGCAUCUGAUUCAACAGUGACAAGUUCACAUAAACCUUUAAAAGCUUAGAAGCACUGUGGCACAUUUUGGACAUAGUUAAAACCUUCAAAUAUCCUAAAAAGAGAGGGGGAAAGACUAUCUGUGUUAUUGUAUUCGGACUACUGGGGCAUGUAUUGCCUGCAUAUGAAUGGAUUUAUAGAUGUUUUGUCAAGAUUCAGUGUGAAUGAUGUUUGAACAACACACAAAAUAAGCAGUGAUAUUACAAGUGUACCCAUCUAAAAACCUUCUAGUGCGAUAACAAUUCCGUGCUAAGAUUUAAUAUUAAUACAUCCAAAAAUGAUGUCCGAAAAGUCGAAUUGACAGAGUGAGGUAAAUGUAUUCGGCAUACAAGUCAGCAGGGGGAGGGUGAAUAUACAACAACAAAAAGAGUCAACUACAGGAAAGAGUCACACCACUCUCUCAGACAGCUAUAACAGUCGCCUUGCUGUUUGGUGUUGGCUCCACACGUAUCCUUCAACCAUUCCCGAAACAACUCCUCAUCUUUCUUCAGGACCAGGAACUGUCCUAGAACAACAUAUGCCUAUGGGAAGAAAAAUGAAAGUAAAAGUUAAGUUUCAGUUUCAUGACAACGGAGCAUAUAUGAAACCUCUUUGUAAAUCAUACCUUGUCAAAGCCCUUCUCUUCCAAUCUCUUUCCAAGAACUUCACCGAUUCCUGCGAGAGCCAUCACAGUCUUCUCCCCCAUGGGCUCUGCCACAAAGUCCUUGUGUUUUUGUGAUGUUGACGACAUUGUUGAUUUAUAUUAGACAGGGCUGCGGGAUUUCAAGUUGACUUUCUUCAGUGGCUUAAAACAGAAAAACAUUUGUUAAAAGAUUUGAUUCCUUAAUAGCCUGAAACUAACUGUACAUGUAAAUCAAAAGAUAAAAAAAAAACCUAUUCAGCUCCUGAUACUAUUUCAGCUAUUGCUAAAAUGCAAAUGUGCCUCUCAUUUCCUCAUGUAUUAAACUGUAACACUGAGAAAGGAAAGUGAAGGUGAGCUGCGAGACUAAAGUGAAAAGCAAACGUGAAAACUACAUAUAUGUUUACUACAACCAUCAAACACGCAACAAAGAGAUAAUAGCUAAUUAAUAAAUUGUUAUUAUGAAAAGUAGUUAAGAGUAAAGUUUUCGUGAUGUACACGAGUUUUUGAGGUCCCGCCUCAUUUCUCCGCGUUCAGCGACACACAACGACAGCUGACACGCCAUUCUCUAUUCAUUUACAAAUAAUAAAAACCUACGUGCAAACACAACAGGAUGAACAGUAUUUUUAAAGAAACGUGCAUCAGAAACAUAGUUUAUAUCAUACCUGGACACUAUCAUCGAGAAAUUUCAAUCCUCAUCCGCAAGCGCCGUGCUGUUCAGAGUCUCAGUGCGCCCAAAAUAACUCACACAGCGCUGCUUCCUGAUCCCGCCUUUAGAAAGAACACGCCACUUCCGCUCUAAUCAUGCUGCUGUUCAGAGAGACACCGGCCCCUGGUGGCUCCAGCUAUUUGGUGGAAAUCAAAUACAGUGAGGAUCAAAAUUUGGGACCAAACUACAAUUUUCUAAAUUUCGAUGUCACUGCUUAAGCCUAUUUGAAGUUAUCCUAACAGGAACAAAAGCACAGUUUUUAGAGCAUAUUCUGAAGCACAGUAAUAAUGCAGAGAAUCUCAAUGGGCAAUCGGUUCAACACUGCAGCUGGAAUUGCUCGCCAGCUCAGCACUGAAGACGUUAAGGAUCUGUCUCCGCAUACAGUCUCUUAACGUUUAAGAGAUUUUGGACCUUUCCUUCCCUGCAUUCAUCCAGCAAUUUUCGUGCUCCUCAUCAUAUUCCAAAAAAGGUAAAGCAGUUCCUUGAAGCUGAAAACAUUGAAAUAAUGAAAUGGCCAACCAAGAGUCAUGGAUCUAAACCAGACUGAAAAUCUCCGGAAUCCUUGGUGACAAAGUUAUGGCUAAGAAACCCAC